UUUGCCUGAGAGCUCCGGAAGGACGUAC
rnacentral:piRNA from 1 species